CAAGUCGAGGGGUAGCAGGAUUAAGCUUGCUUAAUUGCUGACGACCGGCGCACGGGUGCGUAACGCGUAUGCAACCUACCUUAUACUGGGGUAUAGCCCGGAGAAAUUCGGAUUAACCCCCCAUAGUACUAUUUUACUGCAUGGUAGAAUAGUUAAAGCGUCAGCGGUAUAAGAUGGGCAUGCGUCCUAUUAGCUAGAUGGUGAGGUAACGGCUCACCAUGGCUACGAUAGGUAGGGGGCCUGAGAGGGUGGUCCCCCACACUGGUACUGAGACACGGACCAGACUCCUACGGGAGGCAGCAGUGAGGAAUAUUGGUCAAUGGGCGCAAGCCUGAACCAGCCAUGCCGCGUGCAGGAAGAAUGCCCUAUGGGUUGUAAACUGCUUUUAUUUGGGAAUAAACCUCUUUACGUGUAGAGAGCUGAAGGUACCAAAUGAAUAAGCACCGGCUAACUCCGUGCCAGCAGCCGCGGUAAUACGGAGGGUGCAAGCGUUAUCCGGAAUCAUUGGGUUUAAAGGGUCCGCAGGCGGAUUUAUAAGUCAGUGGUGAAAUCCUAUCGCUUAACGAUAGAACUGCCAUUGAUACUGUAAGUCUUGAAUUCGGUCAGAGUGGGCGGAAUGUGUAGUGUAGCGGUGAAAUGCAUAGAUAUUACACAGAACACCGAUAGCGAAGGCAGCUCACUAGGCCUGAAUUGACGCUCAGGGACGAAAGCGUGGGGAUCAAACAGGAUUAGAUACCCUGGUAGUCCACGCUGUAAACGAUGAUUACUCGUUUUCGGCGAUAUACGGUCGGAGACUAAGCGAAAGUGAUAAGUAAUCCACCUGGGGAGUACGAUCGCAAGGUUGAAACUCAAAGGAAUUGACGG
rnacentral:rRNA from 1 species